UACGUAGGUGGCAAGCGUUGUCCGGAUUUACUGGGCGUAAAGAGCGCGCAGGCGGUCGUCCAAGUCGGAAUGUGAAAGCCCCCGGCUCAACUGGGGAGGGUCAUUCGAUACUGUUCGACUCGAAGGCAGGAGAGGGAAGUGGAAUUCCGGGUGUAGUGGUGAAAUGCGUAGAUAUCUGGAGGAAUACCGGUGGCGAAGGCGGCAUCCUGGACCGGCAUUGACGCUGAACAGCGAAAGCUAGGG
rnacentral:rRNA from 1 species